UACGGAGGAUCCGAGCGUUAUCCGGAUUUAUUGGGUUUAAAGGGUGCGCAGGCGGGGGAUUAAGUCGGCGGUGAAAUUUUGCAGCUCAACUGUAAAAGUGCCUUCGAAACUGGUUUCCUUGAGUGUAGAUGAAGUAGGCGGAAUUUGUGGUGUAGCGGUGAAAUGCUUAGAUAUCACGAGGAACUCCGAUUGCGCAGGCAGCUUACUGGGAUGCAACUGACGCUGAGGCACGAAAGCGUGGGUAUCAAACAGGAUUAGAUACCCUGGUA
rnacentral:rRNA from 1 species